rnacentral:rRNA from 1 species
UACGUAGGGUGCGAGCGUUAAUCGGAAUUACUGGGCGUAAAGCGUGCGCAGGCGGCUUUGCAAGAUAGAUGUGAAAUCCCCGGGCUCAACCUGGGAACUGCAUUUGUGACUGCAAGGCUAGAGUACGGCAGAGGGGGAUGGAAUUCCGCGUGUAGCAGUGAAAUGCGUAGAUAUGCGGAGGAACACCAAUGGCGAAGGCAAUCCCCUGGGCCUGUACUGACGCUCAUGCACGAAAGCGUGGGGAGCAAACAGG